rnacentral:rRNA from 1 species
AUUGAACGCUGGCGGCAGGCCUAACACAUGCAAGUCGAGCGGAUGAGUGGAGCUUGCUCCAUGAUUCAGCGGCGGACGGGUGAGUAAUGCCUAGGAAUCUGCCUGGUAGUGGGGGACAACGUUUCGAAAGGAACGCUAAUACCGCAUACGUCCUACGGGAGAAAGUGGGGGAUCUUCGGACCUCACGCUAUCAGAUGAGCCUAGGUCGGAUUAGCUAGUUGGUGAGGUAAAGGCUCACCAAGGCGACGAUCCGUAACUGGUCUGAGAGGAUGAUCAGUCACACUGGAACUGAGACACGGUCCAGGCUCCUACGGGAGGCAGCAGUGGGGAAUAGUGGACAAUGGGCGAAAGCCUGAUCCAGCCAUGCCGCGUGUGUGAAGAAGGUCUUCGGAUUGUAAAGCACUUUAAGUUGGGAGGAAGGGCAGUAAGUUAAUACCUUGCUGUUUUGACGUUACCAACAGAAUAAGCACCGGCUAACUUCGUGCCAGCCGCCGCCGUAAAAC